GAGUUUGAUCCUGGCUCAGAGUGAACGCUGGCGGCAUGCCUAACACAUGCAAGUCGAACGGCAGCACAGCAGUAGCAAUACUGUGGGUGGCGAGUGGCGGACGGGUGAGGAACACAUCGGAAUUUGCCCAGUCGUGGGGGAUAACGUAGGGAAACUUACGCUAAUACCGCAUACGACCUUACGGUGAAAGCGGGGGAUCGCAAGACCUCGCGCGGAUGGAUGAGCCGAUGUCGGAUUAGCUAGUUGGUGGGGUAAAGGCCUACCAAGGCGACGAUCCGUAGCUGGUCUGAGAGGAUGAUCAGCCACACUGGGACUGAGACACGGCCCAGACUCCUACGGGAGGCAGCAGUGGGGAAUAUUGGACAAUGGGGGCAACCCUGAUCCAGCAAUGCCGCGUGUGUGAAGAAGGCCUUCGGGUUGUAAAGCACUUUUAUCCGGAACGAAACGUGCGGGGUGAAUAGCCUCGUAAACUGACGGUACCGGAGGAAUAAGCACCGGCUAACUUCGUGCCAGCAGCCGCGGUAAUCCC
rnacentral:rRNA from 1 species